AUGGAUAGUUUGCCUAAGCGCGACGCAAACUACGUCCCUUUGAGCCCCAUCACGUUCCUGCAGAGGGCUGCCUCUGUCUAUGCGGACCGCACCUCGCUUGUGUACGGCAACACCAUCUUCACCUGGCGGCAGACAUACGAGCGCUGCUGCCGGCUCGCCGCCGCCCUACAACAACUCGGCGUCAUGAAGAAGGACGUCGUGUCCGUUCUUGCGCCCAACACGCCGGCGCUAUACGAGAUGCACUUCGCCGUGCCCAUGGCCGGCGCGGUGCUCAACGCCAUCAACACGCGACUGGACGCCACCGCCGCAGCUGGCAUCAUCAAGCAUGCCGAUCCCAAGCUUCUUUUCGUGGACUACCAGUACAUGUGCCUGGCUACCGAGAGCCUUAGGGACGGCGAGGCGGCUGGCAGUAUCUCACCAUUGCUUGUGGUAAUCGACGACCUCAACAAGCCGGAGGAAACGAGAAUAGGCGAGCUCCACUACGAGCAGUUGGUGGAAAGGGGCGACCCAGAGCAGCGACCACCGCGCUCCGUCGACGACGAGUGGGACGCUAUCACGCUCAACUACACCUCCGGCACGACAAGCUCGGCUCUCAAGGGCGUCGUGUACAGCCACCGUGGCGCGUACCUGAGCACCGUGGGCCUCCUACUCCAGUGGGGGGUCGGGAGCGAGCCCGUGUACCUAUGGUCACUCCCCAUGUUCCACUGCAAUGGGUGGACCCUGACGUGGGGCGUGGCUGCGCGGGGCGGCGUCAAUGUCUGCAUCCGUACGCCGGCGGCUGACGACAUGUACGCUGCCUUGUCUGCCCACGGUGUUACGCACAUGUGCGGGGCGCCGGUGCUACUUAACAUCCUUGUGGAGGCACGCCGAGAACCGUUACUCCACGCCGUGGAGGUGCUAACUGGUGGCGCGCCGCCACCGGCGGCGCUUCUCGAACGCGUCGAGCGGCUGGGCUUCAACGUCACGCACGCCUAUGGCAUGACGGAGGCCACUGGCUCUGCCAUGGUUUGCGAGUGGCGAGAGCGGUGGAACGCCCUGCCAACAUCCACGCGCGCGCGCCUCAAGGCUCGGCAAGGGGUGAGCGCGCUCUCCCUCGCGGACGCCGCCGUCGUGAACAACAUCGACACCAUGCAGAGUGUGCCCAGGGACGGCACCGCCCUUGGCGAGAUCAUGCUCCGCGGCAACAGUAUCAUGAAAGAGUACUAUAAGGAUACCGCCGCAACGGCGAGCGCGUUUCGCGGUGGGUGGUUCCUGACGGGUGAUGUAGGUGUGGUGCACCCGGACGGAUACGUUGAGAUCAAGGACCGAUCCAAGGACGUGAUCAUCUCCGGCGGCGAGAACAUCAGUAGCGUCGAUGUGGAGAUGGCGUUGUACCAGCACCACGCGGUGCGGGAGGCGGCGGUAGUGGCCAUGCCGCAUCCGCACUGGGGCGAGACGCCGUGCGCAUUUGUGGCGCUGGAGCCGGGGUUCUCCUGCCUUGGCGAGGUCACGGAGGAGGACAUUAUCUUGUUCUGCCGUGAUAAAAUGCCGCAUUUCAUGGUGCCGCGGAAGGUUGUUUUCGUGGACAAGCUGCCGACGAACUCCACGGGGAAGGUGCGGAAGAUUGAGCUGCGCCAGAGGCUGCACGGAUGUAGCCAAAGUGCUCCGGGUGACAGCAGGCCCGGCUCGGCUUUGGCCGGCAAAGCCAGGCUUUGA
rnacentral:rRNA from 1 species